CGCCCGCCCCUGGUCUCCGAGCCGCCGCCGCAUCCGCUUCCGCCGCUGCCCGCGCGACCCUCUCCCUUCAGCCUGCUGACGGCCCCCGAGACCCGCGACCCAUGGCUGCUGUCCGCCUUUCCCCUGCCACCGCCCGUGCCCCUGUCCCCGCAUUUCUUCCUGUCGCCGCCCUGCUGACCUGGCCCCUCCCGCGGCGGGUGGCCUGAGCUCAGGUAAUCAGGCGAAAAUUCUUUCUCAGUGGGCUCUUCUCCAGCAGCCUAGGACUGGUAUCAGAAAGCCAACCUUGACCCUGGGGGACCUCGGAGAGCCCGGGACCCACCACCAAGAAGGGCAGUGUACUAGUUCUUUGUGACUGCAGUAAAAAUUUUAUUUUUUAAUUUUUUUUAUUUUUGGUAGAGAUGCGGUUUCACCAUGUUAGCCAGGAUGGUCUCGAUCUCCUGACCUCGUGAUCUUCCCGCCUCGGCCUCCCAAAGUGCUGGGAUUACAGGCGUGAGCCACCGCGCCCGGCCUGACCGCAGUAGCAAAUUUAUACACACUGCAUGGCUUCAAACAACAGAAAUGUAUUCGUUACAAUUCUGGAGGCCAAAAGUCAAAAAUAAAGGUGUGGGCAGGACCCUGUUCCCUUCACAGGUGCUAGGGGAGGAUCCCUCCUGCCUCUUCCAGCUCCUGGUGGCUCCAGGCCCUCUGUGGCUUGUGGCCGCAUCACAGGAGUUCCUGCCUCCGUCUUCACAUGGCCUUCUCCCCAUGUCUGUCUCCAAUCUCCCUGUUUUUAUGUUGUAAGAGGUUGGAUUGUCGUUGAAGGUAGGACCCGCCUGAAACCUAGGAUAAUCUCAUUUUGAUAUCCUUAGUUUAAUUACAUGUGCAAAGGCCCUUUUAUCAAGUGAGGUCACAUUCACAGAUUCCAGGGCUUAGAGGGUGGAGGUAUCAUUUUGCGUGCCCCCAUCUGGACAUGCAGUGUCCUCUCCCCUGUGGGGCUGACCUACCUUCCUAGCCGUCUUCCCAGAACGUAAUGUGUCUUAAAUCCGUCAUGCUGACCUGGGGCCCUGGGUGCCCUUGGGCAGGAGCUGAUGGCACUAGUACCUUGAUAAAGUUCUUACUGGCACCAGAAGAGAAUAAAGUAACUCUCCUUCCCCUUCUCUGACUUAUGGCCAGGUGCCCAUUCCCACUGGCUUGCCGCUCCCCAGCUCCCUGCGCUUUAUAUUGUUGAGGCCUCCUCUCUCAGCUAAGAAACAGGAAGUACACAGAUGUGUAUUCUUAAAGACAGCAUUAGCCACGGGGCCCCCACCCUCAAAGGGUGGGAGCGAUAACUGCUGCUGGUUGAAACUGACAGUUACUACUGAUAAUAAAGUUAAUUGUUACCCAGUCAGUGGAGUCUGCCCAGGUGUACAAGUGAAACCUCCAUUAUGCUUUUGACAAAAUAUGCUUGUCUUGAGUCAAUACCCACCUCGAUCCCCAAGGUGCCAGUCCAGGGAUGUGCCAGGGUUGAAGCAGAGCUGUCUCCUCUCUGCUUUACAGCCAGGAGCACCUGAGGUUUGGGCAGCUGUGACUUGCCCAGGGAGCCCUGGGGUGGGGCUCGCAUGAGGUUCUGGGAGUCCAGCCCGCUGCCCCCUGCAAGUGGGGAGCAAAGGGCACUUCCCUUGCCAGGGACAUGGCAAUGAGAGUGAGCCAGCUGGUGGAGGGGGCCUCUUCCGUAAUCAGAUCCAAAUGCAGUUUUCUGCAGAGGUUUCCCUGUACUGGGAGCCUCGAAGAAUUUGGGACAAGGAGGAACGGGAUGGUGCUUGGGAGGCCCAGAAGAAGGAGAGGCCCUGCCCCGCUGCCCUGUCGGGAAAGAGGUUCAGGAGGCUCUCUUAGCCCACCUAGGGGGGCUAGCUCCAAAGUCAGGGUCUGGGUUGGUGUCAGGUGUGUCCUGCUUCCCGCUGUGCACUUGGUCAGGUUCGCUCAGCUCCCUGAGCUUGUUCCUGUCUGUGAAGGUGGGCAGUGAGCCCGUGAGGGUGACAGCUGCAACACCGAGAUUUAGCUGCACCUUUUGGUUUGGGAGCUAGGGGACCAGCUUCUCUACCUGUAAGAUCUGGGUCUUGGCUCCUCCGGGCGCAGUGGGUGACUCUGCCCUUGGGGUUCUUAGUGUGCUGCCCCCACACCCACCCCCGCACUGUUCCUGGCGCAUGGUAGCUCCUGGUAACUUCCUUCCUUUCCUUUGUGGUCAGGCCACACUUCCCCCUCUAAGAGGCGCGGGUUAACCCACUUCGACCCUAUCUAAGCUGAUCUCUGGUUUCUUCUGCCCACCUGAGCCUCCCUGCCCCUCUUUCCUCCUAGACGGAACAAAAACGAGGUCCAUUUUGUCGCUCCAGGAAGGGACUGGUGGAGAGCCGGCUUCCUUUCCUCCCAGGGUAGUACAGUGGGGAAGGUUCCCCUCCCCCACCUCUUUUCCCAGACGUGGUGGAUGGGGGAGGGGACUUCGCUGGAGGUGUUAAAGUGCCAUUGAGAUGGUAACCACACCAAGGGGCCCCCACUUUUCCAUAUCAAUGGCAUUCCAGUCCCUGAUUAGGCCCCAACCUUAACCCUUCCUUUCCCAAGAUCCAACUGAAUCCAGGUGCACGGGGGCCUAGGAGAGGGUCUAGGACCUCCCAACCUAGGUCUAGUGAGGGCUGAGGACAACAGGCUAAUUGCUACCCAUGUGUCCUGGGAAUCCUCCCACCAUGGGCAGCUCCCCAACCACCCUCUUCCAGCCUCUCCUAGGCUCCAAGAUGUUUCUCCACUUUUACUCUCCCCAAGGGGCUUGGGGAGAUACUGUGUUUUAUCUUAGAGACUUGGGGUGGGAGGAGCCUGAAGCCGCACAGGGCCACUGUGAAGGCAAGUCCAGUGGGUUGGUCACUGAGGUGGGGGUGUGCGCAUUUGCUGAGCAGCCUCCACCCACUCUGCUGGCUAGUCCCUGGAGUGUGGGCUUGCUUUCCUUCUUGCUCCGGUGUGGAGAUGUUGGGCCAAAGAGGAAUUGGGGUCUUAAAAACCUGGGGUCGGCUGGAUGCGGUGGCUCACACCUCUAAUCCUAGCAGUUUGGGAGGCCGAGGCAGGCAGAUCACGAGAUCAGGAGUUCGAGACCAG
rnacentral:lncRNA from 1 species